AUUGAACGCUAGCGGGAUGCCUUACACAUGCAAGUCGAACGGCAGCACGGACUUCGGUCUGGUGGCGAGUGGCGAACGGGUGAGUAAUGUAUCGGAACGUGCCCAGUAGCGGGGGAUAACUACGCGAAAGCGUAGCUAAUACCGCAUACGCCCUACGGGGGAAAGCAGGGGAUCGCAAGACCUUGCACUAUUGGAGCGGCCGAUAUCGGAUUAGCUAGUUGGUGGGGUAACGGCUCACCAAGGCGACGAUCCGUAGCUGGUUUGAGAGGACGACCAGCCACACUGGGACUGAGACACGGCCCAGACUCCUACGGGAGGCAGCAGUGGGGAAUUUUGGACAAUGGGGGAAACCCUGAUCCAGCCAUCCCGCGUGUGCGAUGAAGGCCUUUCGGGUUGUAAAGCUCUUUUGGCAGGAAAGAAACGUCGUGGGUUAAUACCCCGCGAAACUGACGGUACCUGCAGAAUAAGCACCGCUAAUAC
rnacentral:rRNA from 1 species